UACAGAGGGUGCGAGCGUUAAUCGGAUUUACUGGGCGUAAAGGGCGCGUAGGUGGUAAAGCAAGUACGAUGUGAAAGCCCUGGGCUUAACCUGGGAAGUGCAUCUUAAACUGCUUAACUAGAGUAUGGUAGAGGGUAGUGGAAUUUCCGGUGUAGCGGUGAAAUGCGUAGAGAUCGGAAGGAACGCCAGUGGUGAAGACGACUACCUGGAUCAAUACUGACACUGAGGCGCGAAAGCGUGGGGAUCAAACAGG
rnacentral:rRNA from 1 species